rnacentral:rRNA from 1 species
GCACAAGCGGUGGAGCAUGUGGUUUAAUUCGAUGCAACGCGAAGAACCUUACCUACUCUUGACAUCCAGCGAAUCCUUUAGAGAUAGAGGAGUGCCUUCGGGAACGCUGAGACAGGUGCUGCAUGGCUGUCGUCAGCUCGUGUUGUGAAAUGUUGGGUUAAGUCCCGCAACGAGCGCAACCCUUAUCCUUUGUUGCCAGCACGUGAUGGUGGGAACUCAAAGGAGACUGCCGGUGAUAAACCGGAGGAAGGUGGGGAUGACGUCAAGUCAUCAUGGCCCUUACGAGUAGGGCUACACACGUGCUACAAUGGCAGAUACAAAGAGAAGCGACCUCGCGAGAGCAAGCGGAACUCAUAAAGUCUGUCGUAGUCCGGAUUGGAGUCUGCAACUCGACUCCAUGAAGUCGGAAUCGCUAGUAAUCGUAGAUCAGAAUGCUACGGUGAAUACGUUCCCGGGCCUUGUACACACCGCCCGUCACACCAUGGGAGUGGGUUGCAAAAGAAGUAGGUAGCUUAACCUUCGGGAGGGCGCUUACCACUUUGUGAUUCAUGACUGGGGUGAAGUCGUAACAAGGUAGCCAAGGGCGAAUUCGCGGCC